rnacentral:rRNA from 1 species
UACGUAGGCAGCAAGCGUUGUUCGGAGUUACUGGGCGUAAAGGGUGUGUAGGCGGUUCUUUAAGUUUGGUGUGAAAUCUCCCGGCUCAACUGGGAGGGUGCGCCGAAUACUGAGGGACUAGAGUACGGGAGAAGGAAAGUGGAAUUCCUGGUGUAGCGGUGAAAUGCGUAGAUAUCAGGAGGAACACCGGUGGUGUAGACGGCUUUCUGGACCGACACUGACGCUGAGACACGAAAGCGUGGGUAGCAAACAGG